GAUCCCUUCCCCCCUGCACUCACUGGCAGCAGCGGAAGCGGAGCAGCCCGGCCCCAACCCGCUCCACUCCACCAGCUCCCGGCCGCAGUGCUCCGCUUCCUGCCACAGCCCUAGUAAAUGCACCAAGACCCAGGAAGCUGACCACAGGCAAUCUGGAAAUGUGUUGCUCUUUUGAGGCAUUAUGAAGUGCUGGUUGAUUAUCCAAUAUAAAUACCUUCACAGACUAUAUAAGAAAAGCAGUGAACCUGAAGAAAGCCUGUUUAGCUCUGGCAGGGAGUUCUUCCCAUCACUCAUCAUCAAGCCCUCCAGCCAAUUAAGAAGGCCAUGAGUCUUGGUGGUGAAUAAAGCAUGGAACUAGAACAAAUGAGUUGUACUGCUGGUCCUGCCACUGAUAACAUCAUUUCCUUUAAGUGAAAGUAGCAUACACAGAAUUCUCUAAGGGGAGAAUUCUCACAGUGGGGAGAAAAAAUAUAAGAUGUCACUGUGUGUGGAAGCUGGAUCUCAUGGCUGGGUAGCACAAGGGCUGCAUUGAGGCUAACCUGCCCAACCCCUCCACACCAGCCAUAGAAUUUUACAGGCACACAGGAAACCUGAUGGUGGACCCUUAAAGUGUGGUACCAUAGCCAGGCUGUUUCUCUACUCUCUGGAGCUAUGCCAGGGUGGUAUGCAUUAAGGCUAAAUUUUUGAAGUGUCUAGGGGUUUCAGGCACCUCCAUUUUUGAGUGCCCAACUUCACUUCACUUUAAAGGGGCCUGAUUUUUAGAGUGUGGAUGCUCAGUAAUUUCUAAAUAACUCAGAAUAAUAUAUUUCAAAUAAACUUCAUUGUGCAAAUAGUUUAAAGCUAAUUCUAUACAUAGACUACUAUAUAUCUGAAGAAGAGUUAUGUGUACAGGAGCCAUGUGCUAGGCUCAUUAAUCACAGUGAGCCAUUUUAAUCACUUUUUUUUUUUUGAACACUGGAGUUGUCAUUAUUAAAACUUUAACGGGAAAAUGUCAGAUACAACACACAAUCUAGCAUGCCUUUUGAUGUUUGAGAAGAGGCAAUAGAACAGACUACAGUUUGGAGUUGUAUAAACAUUUUCAUUAUGUAAGGUGAGAAUGGAGAAAGCAUAGCUAAUGGAUACCUACCGUCCAUGGCUUUGGUAUUUAAAUAUCUACCCAAGAUAUGGUUGGACUAUUCCACUUUUAACUUCAAAACAUACUAAAAGAUUUACUUGUUUAUAUUUUCACAGUUUAUAGCAACAGUAGUGAUUGCUGGGUUGGGUAUUUUCUGGUAGGUAAAUGACUAGCUAAAUUAAAAACCAAAGUCAAAGCUUCCUUGUCAGUCAGUAUCACAUUUAGAGGUUUUCUGUCAGUUAAAUUGCAAUAUGAAUAAAAUGUGUGCACUGUAUAACAGCUUUUUUUUCUCAAGGUAUCCCAACUGGUUUUACAAACAUUGAUCAGCUUCUGGAAAUAAAAUAUAGACAGAUGGACCAGAAACCAUUAUAUGCUCAACACUUAGCUUUGCGGCCUGAUUCUGAUUUCUGUUACACCUAUUUAAAUCCAGAUUAAAUCAAUUUAAAUUGGAUUUACAGCACUGUAAUCACAAUCUGGCCUUUGGACAUUAGGAUGCUGUCCAAGACGCCAAAGGGUGGUCAAUUACAUUUUUCAAGUGGGGUUGUUGUUUUUUUUACUGCUAAUAGGGAAAACCCCACAUUAAAUAUUCUGCUCUAUAUGUUUAUAAUAUUCAGUAAAAUUAAUGUCAAAUAAGGUUAAGAAGAUCAUGAGGAAAAUUGGAAAGCAAGAAAGCUGUGUAUAUUUAUAUGACAAAUAUUGAACAGUAUAGAAUAUGUAAACUGGCUGAGAAAAUUCUCUUAGAAAAACACUGAUUUUGUUUUCAAACAUGACUUUUUUUGUAAUUUAGUCUGCCAUCUACUCCCAAUAAAAAUCUCUUCUAAUUCCCAGAUUACCAUUAACAAGAUCAGAUUUAGGUACAAAAUUUUUUUUAAAUUUUUUUCUUUUAGGUUGAGGUUUCAUGAUUAGUCUUAAUGUAAUAAUAUCCUUUAGGUUUUGGUCCUUGGAACUAGUACCAUUUAGUAAAAAGUACAGUGGUAAAAAGCAAACAGCAACCCCACUUAUUAUAAAUAGCAAUGUACUGUAAUAUGUUUACUAAGAAUUUUAAAUGCCGUUUGUUUUAUAAGCAAUAAGAAUUUUAUUAAUCUCUAACUCUCAUAAACAGAUCAAGUGGUAAGUACAGCUGUAUGUUUUUCAUACAAAUAUCCUUAAGGUGCAUUUGCAGGGAUUUAAAAUGAGACUAGUUGCAUUAAAACUGUCGUUUCAGCCGUUUGUUUUUACCAAAAGUUCCAAAGCACUUCUCUAGACAAGUUUAGUCCUGGAAAUCGGGACCUUAGACUAGAAAGUUGAACAGGUAUAGUAGCUAAAAACAUAUGAUUGUACUGAGCAUCUUUUCUAUUCUGAUUUGCUUAAUUGGCGGUUGGCUCCAGCCAAAAGGUUCUCGGGCCCUUUAGUUUGAUUUGUAUGGUUAAUGUCAGUGAGUCUGGUUUUGGUUUGGAUUCUGGCUUGUACGGAUACAGCUGGAUACUGAGACAUUCCACCUUUCCUCACACCAGGUAUAAAGGCAGGGAGAAGGGAGAAAAUGUCACUGUGGCAAAGUGCUAGAAGAGGUGAGCAGAAAAUUAGUUUUUCUGGAGUUGCUGCAAGUGACACCCCAUAAACGAGCUAUAAGAGGUUGAAGUAAGACUCUGCAAGAGUGUGAGAUAAGCAUAUAUCUCAAUGAAACUCUAUGGAACUUAGAGACAAAAAGUAAAAAUUUCCAAAGCACCUACGUCAGUGGUUCUCAAACUUCAUUGCACUGCGACCCCAUUCUGACAACAAGUUGGGGGAGAGAGGGCCAGAGUCUGAGUAGAGCUCGUGCUUCAGCUUCAGCCCCAGGACCCAGCAAGUCUAAUACUGGCCCUGGUGACCCCAUUAAAAUGGGGUUGUGACCCACUUUGGGGUCCCAACUCACAGUUUGAGAACUGCUGAAAAGUGAUACAGUUGUCUAUGCCAACUGUCUAGCUUGGUUACAGUUAUGAUUGUAGUGAUACCCAAUGUGGAUGAUCUCUGAGGACUGGCUGUGUGAGUUAAGUUUAUAAUCUUUAUCCAUUAUUUUUUGGAGCAGUAGCCACAUUCAAGUUGACUCAGCAGAAAAUACAUGGUUUAAAUGGGUAAAGAACACUACCUUGUACCUUAGAAAUGGUCCCUCCAAUUUUGGGUUCAGGCAUGUUGGUAUAACGGUCGGGGGUGGGGGGGGAAGUACCAUUCAUUCAGCUGUGGAUAAAUAGGGGAGUUCACUUCCCAUUUCUGCCAGUUUGGGGAAAAAAUCUGAAUAUGUCACCAGACCAGCAAAUAAGAAAUAUUAGGAACAGAAAGUGCUGAUACUCCUUUUAAAAUGAUGAAUCCGAACAGGAAAAAAAAAAGAAGGGAGUUCUGUAAUUUAAUGUGGCUAUAAAACAUGCCAGAGAUUGAUUUUUUUUUUUUUUCUUUUUCAAACUUCCUAGCUUGUCUUUCAGAAGUAAAACAGUAUGCUCUGAGAAUGGCUGAAAAAGCACAUUUCCUGUCCAGCUCUGAGAAGAUAAAGGAUGAAUGCUUUGGUUGUGAGCUUCAAGCUAUCAUUGUGAUUUAAAAAAAAAAAUUAAGACAAUUUUUGAUUUUGUUUUAAAUUUUUUUUCUUAAUUCAGGUAUUUGUAUUUGACACUCUCUUCAGUCAUUUUCACUCUCCUGUUGAAAUCCAUGACUUGUGCAACUAAGCUAUUUUACUUUGUUAGUUUUAAUAAUUAAAUCUUUAUUAAAGAUCUCAGAUAACAGGCAGAAGAUAUGUAAGCCAAUGAAUACAGCUGCUAUUAAGUACAUACCAUUUAACUAGUGUCUUCACUUGUGUAUAUACAGAUGGUAUCAGAAUACCAAAUACAGGUUAUAAUCUGACUGUUCUUGGGCCAUGAUAUGGGAGCUACAUUGGGGAAAAAUUAUUAGCCUCUCUUCAUUUUGGGGGGUGGGAGAGGGAGAGAAACAAAUCUAAAGCGUUCAAUUAUGGGAAUAAGAGAUUAAAGCUCUGAGGGGCAACACAUUUGAAAAGACAAAUUAUAAGUCUACAGAGCAGAAACUAAGGCCUGAUCUACACUAUGAGUUUGUGUCGGAUUUAGCAGCGUUAAAUCGAAUUAACCCUGCAUCUGUCCACACAAUGAAGCCAUUUUUUUCGACAUAAAGGGUUCUUAAAACUGAUUUCUGUAUUCCUUCCCAAUGAGGGGAUUAGCGCUGAAAUCGACAUCGCCAUUUCAAAUUAGGGUUAGUGUGGACGCAAUUCGAAGGUAUUGGCCUCCGGGAGCUAUCCCACGGUGCACCAUUGUGACCGCUCUGGACAACACUCUGAACUCUGAUGCACUGGCCAGGUGUACAGGAAAAGCCCCGGGAACUUUUGAAUCUCAUUUCCUGUUUGGCCAGGCAAGCUCAUCAGCACAGGUGACCAUGCAGUCCCAGUAUUGAAAAAGAGCUCCAGCAUGGACCGAACUGGAGGUACUGGAUCUGAUUCCUGUAUGGGGAGAGGAAUCCGUGCUAUCAGAACUACAUUCCAAAAGACGAAAUGCCAAAACAUUUAAAAAAAUCUCGGAGGCCAUGAGGGACAGAGGCUACAGCAGGUACGCAACACAGUGCUGCGUGAAACUUAAGGAGCUCAGACAAGCACACCAGAAAACCAAAGAAUCAGACGGACGCUCCGGGACAGAGCCCAAGACAUGCUACUUCUACGCUGAGCUGCAUGCAAUUCUAGGGGGGGCCGCCACCACUACCCCACCCUUGUCCGUGGACUCCGAUGAUGGGGUACUCUCCACCAUGCCUGAGGAUUUUGCGAAUGGGGAAGAUGAUGAGGAGGAGGAGGACGAGCUUGAGGAGAACACUCAGCACAUCAUUCUCCCCAACAGUCAGGAUCUUUUUAUAACCCUGACUGAAAUACCCUCACAACCCAACGAAGCCAGAGAAGGGACCUCUGCUUCAAAUAUUUCAAGCCUCCCUCCUCCGUCCCAAAGGCUAUCUCAGAUAAGGCGGUGAAAAAAUGCGUGCGCAAUAACAUGUUCUCUGAGCUCAUGCAGUUGUCCGGCACUGACAGAGCUCAGAAGAAUGUGUGGAGGGACACAAUAGCAGAGACAGGAAAGUGGCCGAUGAAUGUGAGGAGAGGUGGUGGGAGGAAGAUCAGAGGAGGCAUGAGGCAACGCUGGGGCUACUGCGGGAUCAAACGGACACGCUCCGGCGUCUGGUGGAGAUUCAUGAACAGCAGCAGGAUCACAGACUGCUGCUGCAGCCCCUGUUUAACCGCCCUCCCUCCUCCCCAAGUUCCAUAGUCUCCUCACCCAGACGCCCAAGAAUGCGGGGGGUGGAGGCUCCGGGCAGCCAACCACUCCACCCCAGUGGACAACCCAAGCAACAGAAGGCUGUCAUUCAAGAAGUUUUAAAGUGGCCUUUUCCUUCCCUCCUAUCCUCCUCCCACAUCCCACCCGGGCUACCGUGUGAGUUAUCUCCCUAUUUUUAUAAUCAAAUAAUAAAGAAUACAUGUUUUUUAAAUGAU